GUCCUUGAGGUUUACUGUGUUUGGCAUCGCAGUUCCAACGCCAGCAGCCGUUUCGCGACCAGCCGUUUCGCGCCACGACUUGCAUAAACACUUUCUAGUUGGAAUCUCACCCUGCGAGGUGGGCAGGAUAGUGAUAUUCCUGUUUGACGCCGACAGAAAUAAGAGAGAUUGACUCUCAGAACCAUGUGGCGGGAUUUUAAAGGAGGAUCUUAACAGUGGCUCCGGACAGACCCGUGUUUUCUGCUCCUAGCAUUAACUACGUCGUUAAACCCUUCUGAAUUUAUUUCGUCUGUGAAAUGGGGAAAAGAUAGCCACCUUGCAUAACUGGUGAAGAAUUGGUAAACUGACAGAAGAAUCUAGUAAGAAGACUGGCCCAUGGUCGGCUCUUAAUGGCGUGUGUGGGGCUAUGGACAUUCCCAGGUUUUCUGACCUCUAGUCUGGGACUCUUUCUGCUAAACUAGGGAUUCUUAGAGGUCCAGAGACUUCGGGGAGAUUCAGGGGCUUCUUCAAGGGGGUCGCUGAGUUCUAAACUGCAGAGGAACACUCUUAAUGGAGAUAUUUCCACCACAUCUGUUACGGAUAAUAUAUAUUUUGUCAUCUAUUCGCCAGAGACUGUUGUGUCACAGAAUAAAGAAAAAGAAAGACUGGGAGAGAGAUGGGAGCUGAUAGACCAGAGGAGACCAAAGACUGAAACUGAAGACUAAACCAUGGAAAUUGGGAACAAGGACUUACUCGCUUAGAGGGUGAAAAGAGUGAAUUUGCCUACAGGACAAAUGUGGACGCAGCUCUCCCUGGGAGCCAGUUAAUGAAGAGCCAUUGGAGGAUUUUAAAUAACGGACCGAAAAAUAGAGUCUGAAAAUAGAGGCGCAGAGACCGGUCAACCACAAUGAAGAACAAGCCAUUUUGACCUCCAUCCUGGCUCAUCUCCUCUGUGUUCUCAUAGCAUCAUAUUAUAGAAUGGAUCAGAAACGC